GGGCCUGUAGCUCAGCGGUUAGAGCAAGCGACUCAUAAUCGCUUGGUCGCUGGUUCAAAUCCAGCCAGGCCCA
rnacentral:tRNA from 1 species